UACGUAGGUUGCGAGCGUUAUUCGGAUUUACUGGGCGUAAAGAGCACCGAGGUGGCUUCUUAAGUUGGAUGUGAAAUCUCCCGGCUUAACUGGGAGGCGCCAUUCAAAACUGGGGAGCUUGAGGUCAGCAGGGGAAAGUGGAAUUCCCGGUGUAGUGGUGGAAUGCGUAGAGAUCGGGAGGAACACCAGUGGCGAAAGCGCUCUGCUGGGCCGACACUGACACUGAGAGACGAAAGCUAGGGGAGCGAAUGGG
rnacentral:rRNA from 1 species